rnacentral:tRNA from 1 species
GUUGCGGCUCAGAGGUAGAGUGCUCGCCUAGCACAUUCGAGGCCCUGGGUUCGACUCUCAGCACAACA